GCAAGUCGAGCGCCGUAGCAAUACGGAGCGGCAGACGGGAGAGUAACACGUGGGAACGUGCCCUUCAGUUCGGAACAACCCAGGGAAACUUGGGCUAAUACCGGAUACGUCCGUAAGGAGAAAGAUUUAUCGCUGAAGGAUCGGCCCGCGUCUGAUUAGCUAGUUGGUGGGGUAACGGCCCACCAAGGCGACGAUCAGUAGCUGGUCUGAGAGGAUGAUCAGCCUCACUGGGACUGAGACACGGCCCAGACUCCUACGGGAGGCAGCAGUGGGGAAUAUUGGACAAUGGGCGCAAGCCUGAUCCAGCCAUGCCGCGUGGGUGAUGAAGGCCUUAGGGUUGUAAAGCCCUUUCGGCGGGGAAGAUAAUGACGGUACCCGCAGAAGAAGCCCCGGCUAACUUCGUGCCAGCAGCCGCGGUAAUACGAAGGGGGCUAGCGUUGCUCGGAAUCACUGGGCGUAAAGCGCACGUA
rnacentral:rRNA from 1 species